rnacentral:rRNA from 1 species
AUUGAACGCUGGCGGCAUGCCUUACACAUGCAAGUCGAACGGCAGCAUGGAGAGCUUGCUCUCUGAUGGCGAGUGGCGAACGGGUGAGUAAUGCAUCGGAACGUACCGUGUAAUGGGGGAUAACGUAGCGAAAGUUACGCUAAUACCGCAUACGACCUGAGGGUGAAAGCAGGGGAUCGCAAGACCUUGCGUUAUACGAGCGGCCGAUGUCAGAUUAGCUAGUUGGUGAGGUAAAGGCUCACCAAGGCGACGAUCUGUAGCGGGUCUGAGAGGAUGAUCCGCCACACCGGGACUGAGACACGGCCCAGACUCCUACGGGAGGCAGCAGUGGGGAAUUUUGGACAAUGGGGGCAACCCUGAUCCAGCCAUGCCGCGUGAGUGAAGGAGGCCUUCGGGUUGUAAAGCUCUUUUGUCAGGGAAGAAACACCGGCUCUAACACAGUCCGGGAAUGACGGUACCUGAAGAAUAAGCACCGGCUAACUACGUGCCAGCCGCCGCCGUAA